GAACGCUAGCUACAGGCUUAACACAUGCAAGUCGAGGGGCAGCAUGGUCUUAGCUUGCUAAGGCCGAUGGCGACCGGCGCACGGGUGAGUAACGCGUAUCCAACCUGCCUUACACUCUUGGACAGCCUUCUGAAAGGGAGAUUAAUACAAGAUGUUAUCAUGAGUAAGCAUUUUCGCAUGAUUAAAGGUUUACCGGUGUAAGAUGGGGAUGCGUUCCAUUAGAUAGUAGGCGGGGUAACGGCCCACCUAGUCUUCGAUGGAUAGGGGUUCUGAGAGGAAGGUCCCCCACAUUGGAACUGAGACACGGUCCAAACUCCUACGGGAGGCAGCAGUGAGGAAUAUUGGUCAAUGGACGAGAGUCUGAACCAGCCAAGUAGCGUGAAGGAUGAAGGUUCUAUGGAUUGUAAACUUCUUUUAUACGGGAAUAAACGAAUCCACGCGUGGAUUUUUGCAUGUACCGUAUGAAUAAGGAUCGGCUAACUCCGUGCCAGCAGCCGCGGUAAUACGGAGGAUCCGAGCGUUAUCCGGAUUUAUUGGGUUUAAAGGGAGCGUAGAUGGGUUGUUAAGUCAGUUGUGAAAGUUUGCGGCUCAACCGCAAAAUUGCAAUUGAUACUGGCAGUCUUGAGUACAGUUGAGGUAGGCGGAAUUCGUGGUGUAGCGGUGAAAUGCUUAGAUAUCACGAAGAACUCCGAUUGCGAAGGCAGCUUACUAACCUGUAACUGACAUUGAUGCUCGAAAGUGUGGGUAUCAAACAGGAUUAGAUACCCUGGUAGUCCACACGGUAAACGAUGAAUACUCGCUGUAGGCGAUAUACAGUCUGCGGCCAAGCGAAAGCAUUAAGUAUUCCACCUGGGGAGUACGCCGGCAACGGUGAAACUCAAAGGAAUUGACGGGGGCCCGCACAAGCGGAGGAACAUGUGGUUUAAUUCGAUGAUACGCGAGGAACCUUACCCGGGCUUAAAUUGCAACCGAAUAUGGCGGAAACGCUAUAGCUAGCAAUAGCGGUUGUGAAGGUGCUGCAUGGUUGUCGUCAGCUCGUGCCGUGAGGUGUCGGCUUAAGUGCCAUAACGAGCGCAACCCUUGCCGAUAGUUACUAACAGGUUAUGCUGAGGACUCUGUCGGGACUGCCAUCGUAAGAUGUGAGGAAGGUGGGGAUGACGUCAAAUCAGCACGGCCCUUACGUCCGGGGCUACACACGUGUUACAAUGGGGGGUACAGAGGGCUGCUACCACGCAAGUGGAUGCCAAUCCCAAAAACCUCUCUCAGUUCGGAUUGAAGUCUGCAACCCGACUUCAUGAAGCUGGAUUCGCUAGUAAUCGCGCAUCAGCCACGGCGCGGUGAAUACGUUCCCGGGCCUUGUACACACCGCCCGUCAAGCCAUGGGAGCCGGGGGUACCUGAAGUGCGUAACCGCAAGGAGCGCCCUAGGGUAAAACUGGUAACUG
rnacentral:rRNA from 1 species